rnacentral:lncRNA from 1 species
AGUUCAACAACACAAUAGGUUCAAAGAUGAAAGUGUGCAUGACGAAAAGAAGCAACACGCUCUAUUGUGUCGAGCAAGGCCCCUUUGCCUUCUUCUUCUUCAUCUCUUCUUCCUCUUCCUCUUCCCUUUUGCACAUUUUUGAAGCCUCUUUCAGCACCCUCUCCGUGAAGCGUCGAUGCUCUCGCUCUCUCUUUGGUGCAUUCUCUGCGAUUGACUUCUUAUAAUUUGCUACCAAAUCCCUUUGACGUUUCUCCAUCAUCUUCUUGUGCUCCUCCUUAAUCCGCUUAUGAUAGUUGUAGUAGUCAAGCGUUAUUUUUAGCUCCUCCUUCAUCUUUGCUUCCCUCUCCUCUUCCUUCUUCAUUUCCGAUUUAGCUUCGUCCUCCUCUCUGAACUUCUUUGCAACCCUCUCCCACAACCCCUGGUCCUCGCCGACUGCAUCUUUGUCCUCC